GAUGAACGCUAGCUACAGGCUUAACACAUACAAGUCGAGGGGAAACGACAUCGAAAGCUUGCUUUUGAUGGGCGUCGACCGGCGCACGGGUGAGUAACGCGUAUCCAACCUGCCCACCACUUGGGGAUAACCUUGCGAAAGUAAGACUAAUACCCAAUGACGUCUCUAGAAGACAUCUGAAGGAGAUUAAAGAUUUAUCGGUGAUGGAUGGGGAUGCGUCUGAUUAGCUUGUUGGCGGGGUAACGGCCCACCAAGGCGACGAUCAGUAGGGGUUCUGAGAGGAAGGUCCCCCACAUUGGAACUGAGACACGGUCCAAACUCCUACGGGAGGCAGCAGUGAGGAAUAUUGGUCAAUGGACGAGAGUCUGAACCAGCCAAGUAGCGUGCAGGAUGACGGCCCUAUGGGUUGUAAACUGCUUUUAUAAGGGAAUAAAGUGAGUCUCGUGAGACUUUUUGCAUGUACCUUAUGAAUAAGGACCGGCUAAUUCCGUGCCAGCCGCCGCAGUAA
rnacentral:rRNA from 1 species